rnacentral:rRNA from 1 species
GAUGAACGCUAGCGGCAGGCCUAAUACAUGCAAGUCGAACGAUAGAAGAGGGCUUGCUCUCUUCGAAAGUGGCGCACGGGUGCGUAACGCGUAUGCAACCUACCUUAAUCAGGGGGAUAGCCCGAAGAAAUUCGGAUUAACACCGCAUAAAAUCACAGUACAGCAUUGUACAAUGAUCAAAUAUUUAUAGGAUUAAGAUGGGCAUGCGUGACAUUAGCUAGUUGGCGGGGUAACGGCCCACCAAGGCGACGAUGUCUAGGGGAUCUGAGAGGAUGACCCCCCACACUAGUACUGAGACACGGACCAGACUCCUACGGGAGGCAGCAGUAAGGAAUAUUGGUCAAUGGAGGCAACUCUGAACCAGCCAUGACGCGUGCAGGAAGACAGCCCUCUGGGUCGUAAACUGCUUUUAUUCGGGAAUAAACCUACUUACGUGUAAGUAGCUGAAUGUACCGAAGGAAUAAGGAUCGGCUAACUCCGUGCCAGCCGCCGCAGUAA